AAUGAACGCUGGCGGCGUGCUUAACACAUGCAAGUCGAGCGGUAAGGCCCUUUCGGGGGUACGACGAGCGGCGAACGGGUGAGUAACACGUGGGUGACCUGCCCUCAGCUCUGGGAUAAGCCUGGGAAACCGGGUCUAAUACUGGAUAUGACUCCAUGACGCAUGUUGUGGGGUGGAAAGCCUUGUGCGGCUGAGGAUGGGCCCGCGGCCUAUCAGCUUGUUGGUGGGGUGAUGGCCUACCAAGGCGACGACGGGUAGCCGGCCUGAGAGGGCGACCGGCCACACUGGGACUGAGACACGGCCCAGACUCCUACGGGAGGCAGCAGUGGGGAAUCUUGCGCAAUGGGCGAAAGCCUGACGCAGCGACGCCGCGUGAGGGAUGACGGCCU
rnacentral:rRNA from 1 species